GAUGAACGCUGGCGGCGUGCUUAACACAUGCAAGUCGAACGAUUAACCCACCUUCGGGUGGUUAUAAAGUGGCGAACGGGUGAGUAACACGUGACCAACCUACCUUUCACUUUGGGAUAACUCAGAGAAAUUUGUGCUAAUACCAAAUACUCCGAUACCUUCGCAUGUUGGUAUCGGGAAAGUUCCGGCGGUGGAAGAUGGGGUCGCGGCCUAUUAGAUAGUUGGUGGGGUAAUGGCUCACCAAGUCAAUGAUAGGUAGCCGGGUUGAGAGACUGAUCGGCCACAUUGGGACUGAGAUACGGCCCAGACUCCUACGGGAGGCAGCAGUGGGGAAUUUUGCGCAAUGGGCGAAAGCCUGACGCAGCAACGCCGCGUGCGGGAUGACGGCCUUCGGGUUGUAAACCGCUUUCAGCAGGGAAGAAAUUGACGGUACCUGCAGAAGAAGCUCCGGCUAAAUACGUGCCAGCAGCCGCAGUAACAC
rnacentral:rRNA from 1 species